rnacentral:rRNA from 1 species
CAGUCGCCGCGGUAAUACGGAGGGUGCAAGCGUUACUCGGAAUCACUGGGCGUAAAGGACGCGUAGGCGGAUUAUCAAGUCUCUUGUGAAAUCUAACGGCUUAACCGUUAAACUGCUUGGGAAACUGAUAAUCUAGAGUAAGGGAGAGGCAGAUGGAAUUCUUGGUGUAGGGGUAAAAUCCGUAGAGAUCAAGAAGAAUACCCAUUGCGAAAGCGAUCUGCCGGAACUUAACUGACGCUAAUGCGUGAAAGCGUGGGGAGCAAAUGGGAUUAGAUACCCGCGUAGUCCCUGUCUCUUAACA